rnacentral:piRNA from 1 species
UGGUUUUGCCUGCGCUACAUAUCGGU